rnacentral:tRNA from 1 species
GGGCACUUGGCACAGUUGGUAGCGCGCACGCUUCGCAUUUCUAGAUUGCGUGAGGUCGUGGGUUCAACUCCCACAGUGUCCA